CGAUGCGUAGCCGUAGCGGCGAAAUCCAUGAUCCUAUGCUGCCGAGAAAAGCCUCUAGCGAGCUGGUACAUGGCCCGUACCCCAAACCGACACAGGUGGUCAGGUAGAGAAUACUAAGGCGAUCGAGAGAACUGUGGUUAAGGAACUCGGCAAAAUGCCCCCGUAACUUCGGGAGAAGGGGGACCAGUCCUGGUGACGACAUUUACUGUCUGAGCUGGGGUUGGUCGCAGAGACCAGAGAGAAGCGACUGUUUACUAAAAACACAGGUCCGUGCGAAGUCGUAAGACGAUGUAUACGGACUGACGCCUGCCCGGUGCUGGAAGGUUAAGAGGACCGGUCAGCCACUUCGGUGGCGAAGCUGAGAAUUUAAGCCCCAGUAAACGGCGGUGGUAACUAUAACCAUCCUAAGGUAGCGAAAUUCCUUGUCGGGUAAGUUCCGACCUGCACGAAUGGCGUAACGACUUCUCUGCUGUCUCAACCACAGACUCGGCGAAAUUGCAGUACGAGUAAAGAUGCUCGUUACGCGCGGCAGGACGAAAAGACCCCGGGACCUUCACUAUAGCUUGGUAUUGGUGUUCGGUUCGGUUUGUGUAGGAUAGGUGGGAGACUGUGAAACUCGCACGCCAGUGUGGGUGGAGUCAUUGUUGAAAUACCACUCUGACCGUAUUGGACAUCUAACCUCGGACCAUGAUCUGGUUCAGGGACAGUGCCUGGUGGGUAGUUUAACUGGGGCGGUUGCCUCCUAAAAAGUAACGGAGGCGCCCAAAGGUUCCCUCAGCCUGGUUGGCAAUCAGGUGUUGAGUGUAAGUGCACAAGGGAGCUUGACUGUGAGACGUACAUGUCGAGCAGGGACGAAAGUCGGGACUAGUGAUCCGGCACCGGCAAGUGGAAGCGGUGUCGCUCAACGGAUAAAAGGUACCCCGGGGAUAACAGGCUGAUCUUCCCCAAGAGUCCAUAUCGACGGGAUGGUUUGGCACCUCGAUGUCGGCUCGUCGCAUCCUGGGGCUGGAGUAGGUCCCAAGGGUUGGGCUGUUCGCCCAUUAAAGCGGCACGCGAGCUGGGUUUAGAACGUCGUGAGACAGUUCGGUCUCUAUCCGCCGCGCGCGUAAGAAACUUGAGGAAACCUGUCCCUAGUACGAGAGGACCGGGACGGACGAACCUCUGGUGUGCCAGUUGUUCCACCAGGAGCACCGCUGGUUAGCUACGUUCGGAAGGGAUAACCGCUGAAAGCAUCUAAGCGGGAAGCCUGUUCCAAGAUGAGGUUUCUCACCACCUAGCGUGGUUAAGGCCCCCCACAGACCAUGGGGUUGAUAGGCCAGAACUGUAAGCACAGCAAUGUGUUCAGGUGACUGGUACUAAUCGGCCGAGGACUUAC
rnacentral:rRNA from 1 species